rnacentral:rRNA from 1 species
CGUAGGGUGCAAGCGUUAAUCGGAAUUACUGGGCGUAAAGCGUGCGCAGGCGGUUUGGUAAGACAGAUGUGAAAUCCCCGGGCUUAACCUGGGAAUUGCAUUUGUGACUGCCCGGCUAGAGUUUGGCAGAGGGGGUAGAAUUCCACGUGUAGCAGUGAAAUGCGUAGAUAUGUGGAGGAAUACCGAUGGCGAAGGCAGCCCCCUGGGUCAAGACUGACGCUCAUGCACGAAAGCGUGGGGAGCAAACAGGAUUAGAUACCCUGGUAGUCCACGCCCUAAACGAUGUCUACUAGUUGUCGGGUCUUAAUUGACUUGGUAACGCAGCUAACGCGUGAAGUAGACCGCCUGGGGAGCACGGUCGCAAGAUUAA